UACGUAGGGUGCGAGCGUUAAUCGGAAUUACUGGGCGUAAAGCGUGCGCAGGCGGUGAUGUAAGACAGGUGUGAAAUCCCCGGGCUUAACCUGGGAACUGCAUUUGUGACUGCAUCGCUGGAGUGCGGCAGAGGGGGAUGGAAUUCCGCGUGUAGCAGUGAAAUGCGUGGAUAUGCGGAGGAACACCGAUGGCGAAGGCAAUCCCCUGGGCCUGCACUGACGCUCAUGCACGAAAGCGUGGGGAGCAAACAGG
rnacentral:rRNA from 1 species